UCCAAAUCCCCCAAACCUAAAUCCUCUCACGCACUCCCUCCGCCGCCGCCUGCUAGCUAGCAGCCCGCACGCUGCCGACCACCCACCGUCUCCAGCACGCCGUCACCUGUCUCCUUCAUCCUCUUGCACCUCCACUGCUUAGGCCGCCCUACCUUGUGCGCUGGAGUUCGGGGAGAGGCCGAGGCGUAGUGGUGGACGUCGCCAUCCCUCUGAGAUCCGGGAUUGAGAGAGGGAGGGAGAGGUGGGUCACCUGCGAGAGAGAGCACUCGCACCCUCGCUCGUCAGUCGUCACCCAGGGGCCGCCACCACCACCGCCACGCCAUGGGCUUCCUCCGAUCUGCGCUCGCCGGUUCAUUUGAAGAAGGAUCUGGCCGUUGACUGCUGGUGCUUCCCCUCCCCGGGUGAUCUACCAUGACUUGGGAUAGUACUUCUAUCCAGCAAGCAGCAUUUUGGAUGUGAGCUCCAGCUCAAGCAGAGCAUAAAAAACAGGGGCUCUAUCUGCUAAUGGGGUAGCCGGCAACGCAGUCUAAGAGCUACAUCUCGUGUGAUUUCUAGAUAUGAGAACUUGAGAAGAACAAGCUUGAUGCUAUUAUUGAAAAAAAAUCUAUGCUACAGGAUUCUUCUUUGCAUCCCAUACACUUCGACGGAGUGGGAGACUGCCGCAGCGGUGCUGUACUCGGAGCCCAAGCCAUCAGACGCCGCCAACAGAGGUGACGUGGCAUCUUUAGCAAGGAAUUUCUGUGAUAUAAUUAUCCGGGCGUCACACUACCUCGGCUUCUGGGCAAGAUAUUCUUUAAUUUUAGGUAAGCUCUAAUUUGUAAAGCAUUAUUGCGGCUUUUAGAAACUCCGAAUCUCAGAUUUAUUGAGAUAUCGAAAUCCCAGUUUGAGAUUCAUCGAGAUAAGGAGAUCUUAUUCGACCAUGUAAUUUAAAUAUUAUCCAAUGAGUAUUGUUGAUUGUUGUUUUUAACAAUAUUACUCAACUUAUGGUCACUUCCCUUUGUUUAGUUCAGCACCAUUCUUUUCUCUUAUUCGUUUUGGUAAAAAGAAAUCUCUCAAUAUCCUUGUUUGCUCAGCACCAGUAAAUUUCAUAGAGGUGAUGUAAUAUAUAAUGUCAUUAUUGCUUUAGAAGUUGCAGAAGUGUAAUGCUGACUCUACUCGAAUGAUGAUUAUCCCUACAUGCAUAACAUAUUAUAAAGAUAUCUUCCUACGUGCCCCUUCGGUAAGGAUGCAUGCUGACGUGUGCGCAUCGUUUCUAGCUUGUUUUGGUGCAUCUUUUAUCCUGCUUCAGCUGGUUAGCCUGAAUCCUCUUUUCUCCUCUUUCAGUUGAUUAGCAACCACUAUUGUUCAGGAAUUUUGAGUGGCGCACAUCCUGGUCUGGCGAGCCGAUGACCGGACAUCAUUUGUUAAGGAAGCAAAAGGGACUACACUCACAAGGAACCAUGAAGCCAACGAUCCACGUCAACUAGAUGUUUUAGCUUUCAUUUUGUACAACUGAUGUCUCAUACUUGCAUCUUUUAGCUGUCCUUUUGUAAACCUGAUGUAUGGUUUCUCGGUAUGUUGAAGUGUAUGUGCCAAUUAGUUAAUGGAAUAAAAAAUGUUUGGUGCUCCCGAU